CCUAGGAAGCAAGCUGUGGAUAUUUGUUGUGUCACAUGUGGCCUUUGGUCUGCAAACUUCGCCAGUUUGCUCUAGAUCAUUGGUUGAGAAAGGCUGCUCUAGAUGCUGCUUAAAAAAACAAACAAGCCCACAAUAGCAAUACCUCAACCUUUCUGCUACCUUCCCAGCCAUGCUCCUGUGCUACUAAGUAAGGUUCAGGUAGGGCACUAGGAAGUAUUUGAAAAGGCUCCAUGUGCUGCUGAGCUCACUCACACUCACACAGCCCCCUUGCUGGCUUAAGGUAGGGAUUGACUACAGCUGUAAAGUGGUGUUUUUAAAUUUGCUUGCCACCAUCCACAAGAGCAGUAUAGAAGUCUAGAACACAAAGUGACCAACAGACGCUCUCAUGAGUAUUGGCACAACACCGGAUUUUUGUGCCUUUAGCAUGAGUCAGAAAUCCAGCAGGUACAGAUUUUCCUGCACCUCUGAGUUUGCUUCCUGAUAAAGGAGCAGUGCCUGUCGCAAGGUAGGCUCAUCUGCCCUCCUUCUAUCACAGCCUCUGGCUUAACCUAUGAAACCCCAAUAAAUUAUGCUGGCUUCAACGCAUAGUAGAUGUUAUGAUGAGAGCAGGCAGAAGAUGGCUUAUUUUAAAAAUGUUUUAUUUUUAGUGUUAUUAUUAUUGGACCAAUGGUAUUUGACACACAUGCUGGGAGCUGUAUGGAAAUCAGCACUGAUAAAAAAUACAGCAAUUAUGACCCGUAUCAAUAAAAUAUACACUGUAAAUAGCCUCUCUCUUCUUUUUUAAAAAAACAAAAACCAGCACAAUCCAAAACAUAGCUCUCUAGCUCUGUCUUCAUGCAGCCUCUCAGGUGCUGAAUGCAUUUUGAUGCUAUAGACCACACACGCCCUUAAGCGUUUCUUGUUCAAAUGCAGUGCCAAAAGGAACGCGGCUUGGAGGCCGAACUGCGCUGUAGCCACUUAGCAACACUCCCAUCCUCAAAGCUGCGCUCCAUGGAACUCAUUGUGCCUGUGAAUCUUCUACUCUCCCACUUCACCGAAUGUGGAAGGAACCCAAGUGUAAGGGAUAGAAACCCAACUCAAAAACAGCCCAUGUUGAUACCACCACCGCAAGCUGUGUGUAUGCCCAGUUGCACCCGUGCCAUGCCCGACAGCUGCCUACGAUGGAAAGAAAUGUGGGGUAAUUAUACAGAGUAUAUCAGGUGAAACAGGGGCCCAUGCAAAUAGCACUGCCUAGUGUGCUUGCUUGGAGGUGCCAGUAGUGUUCAGCAGCCUAUAAAGCCUACCUUUCCUUGCGGAAUCGCCUGGAGUUUUGUACCUCAAUGCUGGGAGGAGUACCAUUUCUGCCCGUGGCUGCUGUUCCUCCAAUCCAAAUGUCUCCCAGUUGGAGAAUAACAGCACUCAGCCCUGUUGGAAUGAAAGCCAACUCUUCCCAUUACAUAAGAGGCAUAUUGCACCCCUGUGGAUAAAGGGAUUGGUUUGUUGUUGUUUUGUCAUCUUAUGCCCACCACUGACUUUUGCUCUGGAUAUUGCGUCUAGAUUAACCUGUCUCAGGGGUUUAGAAAAUGAAAAGCUGCACAGCUCUGGAGCAAAUGCUGUUUUGCAGUAUUUCCACCACCCAAAGCCAGCAUUGGUGGUAGGCAACUUCUGCAAAAGGAGAGAGGUUUCAUGGCCUCAUCUGCUUGUUCUGUAGGCACUUAAGCACUGCUUGCUUAUAGUAAAAAAAAAUCUGUUCUGAGCCACAUCUGCUUCUCACAGAGGAAGGGGAGGCUGGACAACGAAAACUGGUGUAAAGCGUGAGCAGGCUCAAUCUGCUUUACAACCAUCUUGGGUGAAGCUCUCUUGCUAUGCCCUCCUCCUUGCUCAAUAAGGCAGUCAAUGCGCGACACGCUUUAAAAUAAAAAAAGGUAAAUUCUGCAUCCUAUCUAAAUCAUGCAAAUUUUUGCUCUAUUUGCACAAUUCGUUUACUUUGCAUGAUUUAUUCUGCUGCUGAUCCUAUAGAGUGGCAUAAGCACAGAAACCCCGAACACUGGAAAUGGUACCCUUCCCCUCCACUUCUGGUAAUGCUUUCUUCUUAUUCCUGACUUUUACCGAUCGUAACUUUUAACAUAACAUUUUGUAUUUUAUGUAAACAGCUUAGAGGUGUUUUUAACAAUUUAAAUGGAAUUUAAAUAAAUAAAAUGCAAGGUGCCCUUGUAGGAAUAUGGUAAGAAGUGUGUGUUGUCUCACUAUUGGCCGUGGAUGAUCUUCAGAGCAAAUGUAGCUUGGAGCACUGGGAGUCACCCUUAGCUGCCUCUACAGCUUACAUAGUAAGCCUGGUUUGCCAACUAUUAGCCCUGCUGGGACCGGCCUCCCAUAACACUUACAGACGGGAAAAACCGAGGCCAGGAAACAAUAAGGUUGGGAAGCACAAUAAAGCCCAAAAUGAAACUCAAGCCUCAUGGUAAGCUGGACCAUUCACCUUCCAUCCUAAACUGAUAGAAAGAGGGCUGUGUAUGACAAGCUACAUAGGCUAUAUAUUACAUACAUCAAGCGAAUUUGCAAGAUCUCCCUGAUGGUCCCUGUAUUCUGCUUCCCUGCCCUUUCAUGGCAAGGAAAGGGGUUAUUGAAGCCCUGUGGCGGCAGCAGCAACAACAACUAAACCUCACCAGGGAACCAGUAGCCUCUCCAGCUUCUGAGGUUUGUUCAGGCUUAUCCUUGCAAUCAUAAUGGCUAGAAACUUGCUUUUCUUUCCAAGUGAAAGAAGAGGUUCUUACAAAACCACAUUCUGCAGCAAGUAUUGUAUU